AACGUAAUUGAUUUCUCCAGUGAAUUUCCUCACAUGACAUUGCCAAAAAUUAUCGACCACCUUCACUAUUUCACUGCCGACUAUAAGUUCAUGGAAAAUGGAACAAAACCAAUUUCUCCAUAUUGGAGCAUGUCUGGACCACUGUUAUUCAUUACUGUAAUUAUGUGACUGUAAAGCGAGAACUCUUAUUAAAGCCAGGCUCUGGCA